UACGAAGGGGGGCUAGCGUUGCUCGGAAUCACUGGGCGUAAAGGGUGCGUAGGCGGGUAUUUAAGUCAGGGGUGAAAUCCUGGAGCUCAACUCCAGAACUGCCUUUGAUACUGAGUAUCUUGAGUACGGGAGAGGUGAGUGGAACUGCGAGUGUAGAGGUGAAAUUCGUAGAUAUUCGCAAGAACACCAGUGGCGAAGGCGGCUCACUGGCCCGAUACUGACGCUGAGGCACGAAAGCGUGGGGAGCAAACAGG
rnacentral:rRNA from 1 species